rnacentral:rRNA from 1 species
AGAGUUUGAUCCUGGCUCAGGAUGAACGCUGACAGAAUGCUUAACACAUGCAAGUCUACUUGAUCCUUCGGGUGAAGGUGGCGGACGGGUGAGUAACGCGUAAAGAACUUGCCUUACAGACUGGGACAACAUUUGGAAACGAAUGCUAAUACCGGAUAUUAUGAUUGGGUCGCAUGAUCUGGUUAUGAAAGCUAUAUGCGCUGUGAGAGAGCUUUGCGUCCCAUUAGUUAGUUGGUGAGGUAACGGCUCACCAAGACGAUGAUGGGUAGCCGGCCUGAGAGGGUGAACGGCCACAAGGGGACUGAGACACGGCCCUUACUCCUACGGGAGGCAGCAGUGGGGAAUAUUGGACAAUGGACCAAAAGUCUGAUCCAGCAAUUCUGUGUGCACGAUGAAGUUUUUCGGAAUGUAAAGUGCUUUCAGUUGGGAAGAAGUCAGUGACGGUACCAACAGAAGAAGCGACGGCUAAAUACGUGCCAGCAGCCGCGGUAAUACGUAUGUCGCAAGCGUUAUCCGGAUUUAUUGGGCGUAAAGCGCGUCUAGGCGGCUUAGUAAGUCUGAUGUGAAAAUGCGGGGCUCAACCCCGUAUUGCGUUGGAAACUGCUAAACUAGAGUACUGGAGAGGUAGGCGGAACUACAAGUGUAGAGGUGAAAUUCGUAGAUAUUUGUAGGAAUGCCGAUGGGGAAGCCAGCCUACUGGACAGAUACUGACGCUAAAGCGCGAAAGCGUGGGUAGCAAACAGGAUUAGAUACCCUGGUAGUCCACGCCGUAAACG